GAGUUUGAUCAUGGCUCAGAACGAACGCUGGCGGCGGGCCUAACACAUGCAAGUCGCACGAGAACGGUGGGCUUCGGCCUACCUAGUAAAGUGGCGCACGGGUGAGUAACGCGUGGGUAAUCUGCCCCCGGGUUGGGGAUAACGUUCCGAAAGGGGACGCUAAUACCGAAUAAGACCACGGCCACUGCGGUGGCAGGGGUCGAAAGCGGGCCUCUACAUGUAAGCUCGCGCCUGGGGA
rnacentral:rRNA from 1 species